CAAUGGCGUAUAUUAAAGUUGUUGCAGUUAAAAAGCUCGUAGUUGGAUUUGUGGCGUACGGUGUGUUCCGGGCACUUGUUGUCUGAGUAACCUGCUGUUGCCAUCCUUGGGUGGAACCUGUGUGGCAUUAGGUUGUCGUGCAGGGGAUGCCCAUCAUUUACUGUGAAAAAAUUAGAGUGUUCAAAGCAGGCUUAUGCCGUUGAAUAUAUUAGCAUGGAAUAAUGAGAUAGGACUUUUUUGCUAUCUUGUUGGUUUGCGCAAGAAGGUAAUGAUUAAUAGGGACAGUUGGGGGUAUUCGUAUUCCAUUGUCAGAGGUGAAAUUCUUGGAUUUUUGGAAGACGAACUACUGCGAAAGCAUUUACCAAGGAUGUUUUCAUUAA
rnacentral:rRNA from 1 species